ACCAGGAAAAGUUUUGCAGGUCCUGGAAAAAUAAAACCAAAGAAAGGGAAGGAGAAAACGUAUUCUGUCCUCAUCGGAAAAACUGAAAUACGCCAGGAAUCGGAGACUUUUCAAAACUUUGUAUUUGACAGUUUAUUUCAGAACUUCGGAGUAGCAUAUACACUAUCAAAUACUUUUAAAAAAACACACCACAAUCUAGGUUUUGUGGUCGUUGCAACAUACAUACGCA
rnacentral:lncRNA from 1 species